CGCCCAUUCAGGAAGUUGGUCCCCCUUGAAUGCUUUGCUUGUGAGCAUCACGAGUGUGAGAGUUUUGAUGGCAGCUUGCUUUUCAAUCCUACACACUCCCCACCAUGAUGCUGUACCUCACCACAGGCAGAAGUAGUGGACUGAAAUCUCUCAAUUGAUGCAGUGAAGAAGAUCCCCAUAUUUCAUGACAUUCAUAUUCUGAUACAAGUGAAAUCUAUCAACAUGGAAGAAGUGGUCUGAAAAGGCAGAGCUGGAAAAAAUAUUUAAGCCAUUAGUCCUGCCAAUUCAACACCAGGGCAUCUUGACCGCAAAUUUGGAAAUACAAGAAACAAGCCAUAAACUUCUGCACUCUGGGAAUGAUUACAUCUGGCGCAAGAAGAGGCUGGUGGACAGAUCCCCUCAUGCAGCCACAGCCAAUCCUUAGGGUGCAUUUCCAGACUGCCUGAGAGGAGGAUAAUCAGAGCCCAGGAGCCUGUGCAAACAUUGUCAACAGGAAGAAAGGCUCACAUGAAAGGGUUAUGGAAAUGGAAAAGGGUGGACACAGGAGUCAAAUGCUGCCAAGGAGAGUUUGGUACAAAGAAAGGUCUACUGCAGAAGGACAAAGAGGAGGGAAUGACAGAUCAUUGCUUCUAGGGCUAGCCAACUAAACGUGACUGUGGUUGUGUAUAACUGGGCAGGAAAAUCCACAGAUUCUGCUCUGUAAGUGGUGCUUCUCCAACUUUAUUGUACAAAGGAAUAAGGCAGGGAACUUAUUAGAAUGCAGAUCCUGGCAGAAUUGGUCUGUGUGGAAUGCAAAGUCUGCAUGCCUAACAAGAUCCCAGGUGAUCUCAUGCUGAUGGGCCCCACAUUGGAAUGUCAAAUCUGUCAGUUGAGGAUGAGGUAGAAAAAGUGGAGAAGGUACUUAUGAAGCAUAGAGGAAUAUAAGCCUUGGUAAGUUCUUUCUAACAAUUCUGUGGUAACAUUAGUACUUUGGAUCCCUGGACAACUUACUAUCUUUAGCUGGGACUAUAACAGAAUCCCCCCUGUUAAGAGUUAUUUACUCUAGUGGCCAUUGGUUAUGUCUCUGGUAUCUCUGUAAUAAAGGGUAAUGCAGAGCUAGAGUGAUUUAUUCUUUCUAAUGUGUGGAAUGAAACACCAUGGCUUCAGGGCUGUGGACCUUUUGAAACAGAGACAUUACUGCUUCAAGGACUGGGAUGAAGUAGGAGAAGCUGCACCAAAUGUAAGUGGAUGGUUUGGCAUCUCUGAGACAUUCUUAAGGAUGCCUAGAAAUCUGUUAUUUUGGUCAGCCUUCAAGAGUUAAAGAACUAUGUCAAGGAACUCUACAUGUACUCUUCUUAACAGUUAGGCCUUCAUUGCAUGUGUGUUUAAAGUUUUAUAAACUAGAGAGACAUAUGGCCUUCAGAGUUACAGAGACUGCUUCUGUUCUUUGACAUUAGUUCUGUGGUGCAUGCGUGUCCUUGAGGGUUGCAAUGGCCUACAAAUUCUAUCAUCAAAUCAAAAGCACUAUAAACUGGAUGUAGUGGUGCAUGUCUAUACCUCAGCUCUCAGAAAGGCGAGACAGGAGGAUGAACAGUUCAAGAGAAGUAUGAUUUACAUAGUGGGAACCUCCCCCCAAUUGCCAGCCCCAAGCACUUCAAACCAAGUAGUGAGUUAAGGCAGGGUGAGUUUAAAUGCUCAUUAAAGUUGGCAUAGAAUUCAUUGCUCAUGAACUGGUGAUAUAUCUCAUGUCCCAUGUAGAGUUCAUACUUCUUUGGUUCUCCCAUCCAUUCCUACCUAUUCUGGGCACAUGCAUGAUAUACAUUGCCUGUUUAUUACAAGAUUCAUAUUUCUGUGGUUCACCUAUCCUAAUUUGUGUGUUUUUCCCAUUUUUAUUAUUGUAGGAUUUAAUAAUCUUUUCAACAAUCACAAACGUUCACUUGUUUCCCUGAGUCAGUUUGCAAAAUAUUUGAGAAGCAACCCAGGAGGCCUCUGAAUGUAAUCCAAAGGCUCCUUUCUUAAACUGAGAUUUCUCUCUCAGUCUUGGACUAAGUCAUUGUUUGGAGCCCCACAGAUCACAACCAGGGAAGCCAGCACUAUUCUUUUCCAUCAAAGCCAGGUUGAAUCCCACAUGUUGAACAGCUGAGACAGUUUACACAUGUGACAGCAAUGUGACAGGGGAGCUCUUUGGAGGCCAUUCUGGCCCAAAACUCAGUGGAAAGCAUGAUUGUUUAGACACUAUUACCACAGUGAAUGACAUUAGAUUCUUACUGAAUAUACCUGUACUCUUGAGGGGGAAGGGAAAAGUGGUACAGAUGAAUUCUGCACAAAAACAUCAACACAACUGAAAUAAAAAUUGGAAAUAAAUCUUGUCUUUUUGCAUUCAAGACUCCCCAUAUAAUUAAUGGGCAAAAGCAAAACCUUAACGUGUCCUCAUAAAAUGAAAAUAGUCAUUGUGAAAACUUUAUUCCUCUCAUUUAAUAAGAAUCGUUAGGCUUUGUUUUACAUGGGAAAAAGGGAUCAAAGGCAUUAAAGACCAAUAAUUUAAAGUCAAAACAAUGUUUUACUGAGUUUUCAUAAUUAAAAUAGAUCAAGGACUUUUUAAAGUUCAGAAACAGAAAGUGAACAUAUUUAGGAAGACACAGCAUGAAAGAGAGGAAAAGUCAAAUAACCACAAGUCUUUACCUAAAAUAACAGAGCUCCUCCCCUCCCCCACCGCUGUGCUUGAUAGAAAAGCAGAGAUGAAUCGUUUUCAUUAGCUAAGCAUAUUCUAAUGUUCUGUCGGCUCAGUGGAAAUCUUGUUACAGUCCCCAGUGGAAUCAUUUAAGCUAGUAUUCUUUAUGUGACUCUGCAUAUAAAUAUCUAACUUCAGAAUUUUAACUAAGAUCCAAAUCAAACAAAAUUAGUUCAUUUCAUCUUUCAGUAAGACAUUGUUCAACUAACGCACAGGUGUACUCUUUGGAAAGAUGCCAACCAGAAAAUACUUGAAACUGAGUAUGGAGAAAUUACCAGAAUUUACUAAGGAGCAUAGGUUAGGGUUUUAAUUACUUAAAGAGCAAUUUAUUCAGAUAGCCAGGAGGGGUUUUCAUCUCAACUGAAAAUGUUUGGGUAGGUUCCAUUUUCCUUUUCUUACUCUAGAAUGUAAAUCUUUUUGUGUUUUAUUUCCUCUCCCAAAGUACCAUAUUGCGUUUUUUGGGUUAUGCCAAUAAACACAAAGUUCCUUUGAGCUGAAAUAUGGGCAAACAAGAAAAACACUCCCUUGCUGUCCAGAUACUCUCUACUCCUCUGUCCACAGCUCCAAGGAUAAACGAUACUCUUGUUGCUUUGUUCUGCAAAUCAAGCUGAAACUCUCAGAAGAUUAGAUUUUCUUGCAGGCUUCCAGUAAUAAUACUCGGUCAUACAAGGAAUAGAUGUAGCAAUGGUUUCAGAUAAUAACAAUGUGUGGACUUGGGCGUUUGUCGUCAUCCAGUGUUGUAACUGUUUAGUCCUCAUCAGAACGCCAUGUAGUUGAAGUCAGCAAGCAGGUCAUCAUUCUCGCUCUGUAGUCUUGACCUCCAACCAUGAGAGUGUGUCUGUCUUUACCACUUGGAUCCAGCUGUGGUGGAUGGAUUGGGAAACAUGCUCCCCCUACUCUUUCAUUUUGUCUCACAAGAACCUUGAAAUUGAAGAAAUUUGCUUUGUGUUUUACUUUUUUUUUUUUUUAAAUACGAUAUGAUCAGCUCAGUUGUCUUAACUUUACAAAAAUACCUGGACAUGCAACUGCCUUACUUUAAUUCUGAGACAUUAGAUCUGAGAGCAUUCUUAUUCGUCAUUACAGAAAGUCUUUUUAAUAAAAACAUUGUUUAUAAAGAAAAGUGGAAUU